rnacentral:rRNA from 1 species
UACGAAGGGUGCAAACGUUGCUCGGAAUUAUUGGGCGUAAAGCGCACGUAGGCGGCUUAGCAAGUCGGAAGUGAAAUCCCUCGGCUCAACCAAGGAAGUGCUUUCGAAACUGCUGAGCUUGAGUACUUAAGAGGAUCGCGGAAUUCCCGGUGUAGAGGUGAAAUUCGUAGAUAUCGGGAGGAACACCAGUGGCGAAGGCGGCGAUCUGGGAAGAUACUGACGCUGAGGCGCGAAAGCCAGGGGAGCAACGGG